rnacentral:rRNA from 1 species
AUGACCGAGGACGCGGCUAUCGAUAGAUUAAACACACACUCUGCAGAGGUAGCGCACUUUACCCACACCACGGAACCCAUGGCCUCGCACUCCCAUUCGGGUGGACCAAUAGCGUUCCGACAAAACCGAUCUACUGCCAUGACACUCUCCCGGCCACUCCGGCCAACACCCCUUAUGGGUUCAGUCCUGGGUGGCCCCGUACCUACCAAAGGUACCAACGGCCACCGUCGUGGCAAAACGGUCCCAAACGGGGACAUGAGCUCAAAACCUAACCCGGGCACACAAGGCUUAUGUUCGCCUACCUGA